AAAAACUGUCUUUAUGGUGAAAUUUGAAAUUUACCUUUAAGUGAAAAGGCUUAAAUGUUUCAGGGGGACGAUAAGACCCUAUAAAGCUUUAUAAAUAAUUUAGAUUUAGUUGAUUUAUACUUAUAAUAGUUAAGUUUAAUUAUUUUAUUUUAUUGGGGUGAUAUGAGUACAAUUAUUGUAACUGCUUAGUAGUAGUUCUGUUAUAGUAGAAUUAAACAAGUGAAUGAUCCUUAGAUUAAGAUUAUAAGACUAAGUUACUUUAGGGAUAACAGCGUUAUUUUUCUUGAGAGUUCUUAUUGAAAGAGAAGAUUGCGACCUCGAUGUUGAAUUAAAAUAUCUAUAUGAUGCAGCAGUCAUAAAAGAGGGUCUGUUCGACCUUUAAAUUUUUACAUGAUUUGAGUUCAAACCGGA
rnacentral:rRNA from 1 species